rnacentral:rRNA from 1 species
UACGUAGGGUGCGAGCGUUAAUCGGAAUUACUGGGCGUAAAGCGUGCGCAGGCGGUUUGUUAAGCCAGAUGUGAAAGCCCCGGGCUCAACCUGGGAACUGCGUUUGGUACUGGCAAGCUAGAGUACGGCAGAGGGGGGUGGAAUUCCACGUGUAGCAGUGAAAUGCGUAGAGAUGUGGAGGAACACCGAUGGCGAAGGCAGCCCCCUGGGCCAACACUGACGCUCAGGCACGAAAGCGUGGGGAGCAAACAGG